rnacentral:rRNA from 1 species
UACGUAGGGUGCAAGCGUUGUCCGGAAUUAUUGGGCGUAAAGAGCUCGUAGGCGGUUCGUCGCGUCGGCUGUGAAAUCCCGAGGCUCAACCUCGGGUCUGCAGUCGAUACGGGCGGACUGGAGUUCGGCAGGGGAGACUGGAAUUCCUGGUGUAGCGGUGAAAUGCGCAGAUAUCAGGAGGAACACCGGUGGCGAAGGCGGGUCUCUGGGCCGAUACUGACGCUGAGGAGCGAAAAGCGUGGGGAGCGAACAGG